rnacentral:rRNA from 1 species
GAUGAACGCUGGCGGCGUGCUUAACACAUGCAAGUCGAACGGGGUGCUCAUGACGGAGGAUUCGUCCAACGGAUUGAGUUACCUAGUGGCGGACGGGUGAGUAACGCGUGAGGAACCUGCCUUGGAGAGGGGAAUAACACUCCGAAAGGAGUGCUAAUACCACAUGAUGCAGUUGGGUCGCAUGGCUCUGACUGACCAAAGUAUUUAUCGCUCUGAGAUGGCCUCGCGUCUGAUUAGCUAGUAGGCAGGGUAACGGCCCACCCAGGCGACGAUCAGUAGCCGGACU